CGGCGUGCUACCAUGCAGUCGACGAUGAAGCCCAGCUUGCUGGGUGGAUUAGUGGCGAACGGGUGAGUAACACGUGAGUAACCUGCCCCUGACUUCGGGAUAAGCGCUGGAAACGGCGUCUAAUACCGGAUAUGAGCCGUCCUCGCAUGGGGGUGGUUGGAAAGUUUUUCGGUCAGGGAUGGGCUCGCGGCCUAUCAGCUUGUUGGUGGGGUGAUGGCCUACCAAGGCGACGACGGGUAGCCGGCCUGAGAGGGCGACCGGCCACACUGGGACUGAGACACGGCCCAGACUCCUACGGGAGGCAGCAGUGGGGAAUAUUGCACAAUGGGCGCAAGCCUGAUGCAGCGACGCCGCGUGAGGGAUGACGGCCUUCGGGUUGUAAACCUCUUUCAGCAGGGAAGAAGCGCAAGUGACGGUACCUGCAGAAGAAGCGCCGGCUAACUACGUGCCAGCAGCCGCGGUAAUACGUAGGGCGCAAGCGUUGUCCGGAAUUAUUGGGCGUAAAGAGCUCGUAGGCGGUCUGUCGCGUCUGGUGUGAAAACUCGAGGCUCAACCUCGAGCUUGCAUCGGGUACGGGCAGACUAGAGUGCGGUAGGGGAGACUGGAAUUCCUGGUGUAGCGGUGGAAUGCGCAGAUAUCAGGAGGAACACCGAUGGCGAAGGCAGGUCUCUGGGCCGCAACUGACGCUGAGGAGCGAAAGCAUGGGGAGCGAACAGGAUUAGAUACCCUGGUAGUCCAUGCCGUAAACGUUGGGCACUAGGUGUGGGGCUCAUUCCACGAGUUCCGUGCCGCAGCAAACGCAUUAAGUGCCCCGCCUGGGGAGUACGGCCGCAAGGCUAAAACUCAAAGGAAUUGACGGGGGCCCGCACAAGCGGCGGAGCAUGCGGAUUAAUUCGAUGCAACGCGAAGAACCUUACCAAGGCUUGACAUGCACGGGAAGCCGCCAGAGAUGGUGUCUCUUUGGACCUCGUGCCAGGGGGUGAUGGUUGCGUCGCUCGUGCCUGAGAUGUUGGGUUAGUCCGAACGAGCGCACCUCGUCCCUGUUGCAACGGGUAUGCCGGGAACCUGGGAAAUGCGGGUCACCUCGGAGAAGG
rnacentral:rRNA from 1 species